CCUACACACACACACAGGUGUUAUUAAUCUCCAGAGCGGGUUGUUGUAUAUAAUUUCUGAAGCUUGUUCAAGUCUCUGCAUUUUCUUUCUAGAGAAUUCUCUCACCUUGCCUGAGGUCUUCACUCCCUUCCACAGACUGAAGUAAAGGACGACAAUCACAACAGCAAGACAGGAAGUGAGCUGCCAACGAGGUAGUCCGAGGUUAUCGAUCCCUGUGCUGUCCUGAAGGGAUGGAGGAUUUUCCAGUCAUGCGUGUAUGACUGUUCAACACACCCGAGUAGAAGUGUUAUGGAAACGAAGGUCACACAUCUCGGGCCUCCUGAAGCGUGUUGUGGUUCUCCUCCAGUGGACUAACGUGAACGCUACAUGUUUUGAGACUAAAAGCCAUUUUGACAGUCUCCUGUUUCAGGAAUUUUAAAGGAGAGAUAAACGGUACCUGUCUGAGUCUGAUGGCCGUGUCCUGUCUGUUUCUUCAUCCAGGAUAUGCGCUGCAUGUCUAAGACAAGACGCUACAGCAGCACAGGUAGGGGAACCUCCAGACAUUAGCGAGGUCCACAGCGAAGCCGAUUACUGACAGAAGGAAGUCGAUUUUCUUGGCCCAGGUUUCUCGCUCCUCCCCAGACGGAUGAGUCUGGCCGGUCGGCGAAACCAGGGCGGAGGUUGUGAACUGAACGCCGUUCUGCUCCUUCACCAAGAUCAGCUCCACCUCUUUGGGUCCCGUGGAGCCGGAGGGAUUGGAGGGAGCAAUGACUGAGGACAUGAGUGUGGCCGGAGCUCUGCCUCUGAACAUGGGGCUUUACUGAGGAAAGAGAGAAUGCAGAUGUAGGAAAGAGAUCGAGGACGGGAGGGGAAGGAGGGGAGGAGCGAGACGGCCAUGUCGAGGGUGCAAAUCAGGAACAUGCCUGAUGUGAUGGGCUGCCAUGUUUGUUCACGCAUCACAACCUGAGAUUCCGAGUUAUCGAUCGACGCCUGACUCGAAAAGUUCAGAAAUUUUAUCGUC